rnacentral:rRNA from 1 species
CCUACGGGUGGCAGCAGUGAGGAAUAUUGGUCAAUGGGCGCGAGCCUGAACCAGCCAAGUCGCGUGAGGGAGGACGGCCCUACGGGUUGUAAACCUCUUUUGCCGGGGAGCAACGGGCGCCACGUGUGGCGGCACGGAGAGAACCCGGAGAAAAAGCAUCGGCUAACUCCGUGCCAGCAGCCGCGGUAAUACGGAGGAUGCGAGCGUUAUCCGGAUUUAUGGGGUGUACGGGGUGCGUAGGCGGAUCGUUAAGUCCGUGGUCAAAUUGUGGGGCUCAACCCCUUCCCGCCAUUGAAACUGGCGUUCUUGAGUGGAAGAGAAGUAUGCGGAAUGCGUGGUGUAGCGGUGAAAUGCAUAGAUAUCACGCAGAACCCCGAUUGCGAAGGCAGCAUGCCGGCUUCCGACUGACGCUGACGCACGAAAGCGUGGGGAUCGAACAGGAUUAGAUACCCUAGUAGUC